rnacentral:rRNA from 1 species
CGGCGGACGGGUGAGUAAUGCCUAGGAAUCUGCCUGGUAGUGGGGGACAACGUUUCGAAAGGAACGCUAAUACCGCAUACGUCCUACGGGAGAAAGCAGGGGACCUUCGGGCCUUGCGCUAUCAGAUGAGCCUAGGUCGGAUUAGCUAGUUGGUGAGGUAAUGGCUCACCAAGGCGACGAUCCGUAACUGGUCUGAGAGGAUGAUCAGCCACACUGGAACUGAGACACGGUCCAGACUCCUACGGGAGGCAGCAGCC